AGAGUUUGAUCCUGGCUCAGAACGAACGCUGGCGGCAUGCCUAACACAUGCAAGUCGAACGAAGUCUUCGGACUUAGUGGCGCACGGGUGCGUAACGCGUGGGAAUCUACCCUUGGGUACGGAAUAACUCAGAGAAAUUUGUGCUAAUACCGUAUAAUGACUUCGGUCCAAAGAUUUAUCGCCCAAGGAUGAGCCCGCGUAAGAUUAGCUAGUUGGUGGGGUAAAAGCCUACCAAGGCGACGAUCUUUAGCUGGUCUGAGAGGAUGAUCAGCCACACUGGGACUGAGACACGGCCCAGACUCCUACGGGAGGCAGCAGUGGGGAAUAUUGGACAAUGGGCGAAAGCCU
rnacentral:rRNA from 1 species